GGGGCCAUAGCUCCAUGGCAGAGCAUCUGCCUUGCAAGCAGAAGGUCCAAAGUUCAAUCCUGGGCAUCUCCA